GAUUGUCUUCAAGCUGAGCACACACUGAGCACUGGGCCUGCCUUCUUCCUAACACAGGUUUUUGUAAGCUCCAGACAUUGGAUAAAGCAUUUUGAGGGAUAGGUGAAAACGAAAUCCUGCCCUUUACUCUUGAGAACUCACUCUGCUGUGGGAGGAGAGACAGGCAGCCACCAGGUGCAAUCUCCAACAUGUGCGGGCUUUGGGAAAACACAAUCGGGCAAGUGAAGUUUGUUGCAGACAAGUUCUUCUUCCCCUCUGCCACAACCUCCUCCAAGGCACUCUCUCCUGCCCACGGAUCUUGCUUGGGAAAGGAAUGGGGCAAGUGGAAAUGGCCAUUUCUUAGAUGAACACAUCAGGGACUUGCUCCAGUCUGAAGUCUAUACAGAGCUAGGCUUUGAAUCCAGUCACGUAACUCAGGUGUGUGUUCAGAGCUUGACGGAUUACCACCAGGCUGGGCCAACAGGGUCGUUUUCAAGUCAGCUAGCCCUAAAAGGGCAAAAAAUUGUUGCAAUGCUCCCAGAUGUAACUCUGACCUGGUAUGGUUCAGGGACGAGGCCACUCACACACACUUGGGCAACUGCUCUUCUCGUGACCAGCCUCUUUCUGUGGGAAUCACUCCAUGGAGCCACCGUCUCUCCCAAGCUACAAUGUUCUACAAUGGUGCAAGUGGGGGAAAAAUUUCAACAAAAUUUUGGAUAUCAGCUGCUUUAUGAAGGCAUGAUUUAUAAUGAUUUAUUAUAAAAUGAUGGUGUUUUAA
rnacentral:lncRNA from 1 species